GAAUGGGGAAACCCAGUGUGACUCGUCACACUAUCAUUAACUGAAUCCAUAGGUUAAUGAGGCGAACCGGGGGAACUGAAACAUCUAAGUACCCCGAGGAAAAGAAAUCAACCGAGAUUCCCCCAGUAGCGGCGAGCGAACGGGGAGGAGCCCAGAGCCUGAAUCAGCAUGUGUGUUAGUGGAAGCGUCUGGAAAGGCGCGCGAUACAGGGUGACAGCCCCGUACACAAAAGCGCAUGUGCUGUGAGCUCGAUGAGUAGGGCGGGACACGUGGUAUCCUGUCUGAAUAUGGGGGGACCAUCCUCCAAGGCUAAAUACUCCUGACUGACCGAUAGUGAACCAGUACCGUGAGGGAAAGGCGAAAAGAACCCCGGCGAGGGGAGUGAAAAAGAACCUGAAACCGU
rnacentral:rRNA from 1 species